rnacentral:rRNA from 1 species
AAUUCCGUGAAUCAUCGAAUCUUUGAACGCACAUUGCGCCCCUUGGUAUUCCAGGGGGCAUGCCUGUUUGAGCGUCAUUU